rnacentral:lncRNA from 1 species
GACCGCCUUGCGGCAGCUCACAGAGAUGGGCUUUCCUGAGAGCAGAGCCUCAAAGGCCCUUCGGCUGAACCACAUGUCGGUGCCUCAGGCCAUGGAGUGGCUGAUUGAACAUUCGGAAGAUCCAGCUAUUGACACACCUCUCCCAGGCCAUGCCGCCCAAGCGGAGGCGAGUGCUGCAGCUGCCACCUCCUCCUCCUCCUCUGAAGCUGCCGUGGGAACUAGUGUUGAAGAUGAGGAGUCCCGGGAUGAGCUCACAGAAAUCUUCAAGAAGAUACGCAGGAAAAAGGAAUUCCGAGCCGAUGCUCGGGCUGUCAUUUCGCUGAUGGAGAUGGGCUUUGAUGAGAAGGAAGUGAUUGAUGCCCUCCGAGUGAACAACAACCAGCAGAACGCAGCUGUGAGUCCCACUUUGAGCCUCUCACGUCCCCUGUACCUCAUGUGACAUGCAUUGGGAAUGUCCCUUGUGUCAAGACUUCCACACACAGUUGGUGAUGGCACUUUUUAUGUGAAAUAUUAGUGCAGAUGGUUCGGGUAGAAGCUGAGAACACCCUGGACCCACAGUGCUCUUUGUGUGCACAGUCUGAGGGUGUGAGCUGUGACAGUGAAUCCCAGAGGAUGGGUGUGGGUGCACACCUUUAACUCCAGCACUUGGGAGGGAAGGCAGGCAGAUUCCUGAGGUUAAAGUUAGACUGCCCUACAGAGCGAGUGCCAGGACAGCCAGAGCUACACAGAGAAAUCUUGUCUCCAAAAUAAAUAAAUAAAUAAACAAAC